ACGUCACCACGCGGCAGCGUCCCCGCAGGACCGCAACUAAGCCUGUUGUAUCACGGGACACGCAUGGCUACUCUCUGGUCUUAGAGCGUCGGUGCGGACUUUCCUUCGGUACUCUAUGCACCUGUUCCUCCCGCCUGCUCAAACUUCUUUCCUAUUUAUGAAGAGGGGGGCGUCCCCAUCUCCCGGAAGGAAGGAGAUGCGAGAGGACGGCGCCAGUUUAGGUGCAGCUAAAGAACAAGAGAAAUUGGUAGGGAAAUGGAAAGACAAAAGUUCUGAUGAUUUGCCCUUAAUUUCACCAAGUUAAGUCAACUUCAAGAGGCCUCUAGUCAGAAAGUCUAACAUGGAUCCGUGGGGUCUUACUCCAUGCAUUUAUUCAAGGAACCUGGCAUCUUCUGCUUAGUGCUCUACCACCUUCAGGGCAGGUGAAGGAUCUGGAAGCAGGCAGUCAAGAGGUGCAGAGACCACUGGGACGCGGCAGUUUCCUUCGUGUACGCGUAUGCUGCAGUAUGCCUGCUGUCACGUUCAGCGAGCUGCGAACGCUGCAAGUCUGCCGGGGUGUUUUUGUUUUGUUUUGUUUUUUAACAUCUUUAUUGGAGUAUAAUUGCUUUACAAUGUUGUGUUAGUUUCUGCUGUAUAACAAAGUGAAUCAGCUAUGUGCAUACAUAUAUCCCCAUAUCCCCUCCCUCUUGCAUCUCCCUGCCACCCUCCUUAUCCCACCCCUCUAGGUGGUCACAAAGCACCGAGCUGAUCUCCCUGUGCUAUGUGGCUGCUUC